rnacentral:rRNA from 1 species
GACGGGGGAUGCAAGCGUUAUCCGGAAUCACUGGGCGUAAAGCGUCUGUAGGCGGUGAUGCAAGUCACUGGUGCAAAACUCUGGCUCAACCGGAGGAAAGCCAGUGAAACUGCAUGACUAGAGUGUGGGAGAGGGAGAAGGAAUUCCCUGAGUAGCGGUGAAAUGCGUAGAUACAGGGAAGAACACCGGAGGCGAAAGCGUUCUACUGGAACACAACUGACACUGAGAGACGAAAGCCAGGGGAGCGAAUGGG